rnacentral:tRNA from 1 species
CGAUUGGCGCAGUGGUAGCGCGCUUCGUUCACACCGAAGAGGUCACUGGUUCGAACCCAGUAUCG